UGACAUUUUUAUCAAUGACUUGGAUAAAAGCAAAGAUGGCAUGCUCAUCAAAUUUUCCAUGACACAAAAUUGGCAGGGAUAGAUAGCUAACAUGAUGAAUAACAGAGUCAGGAUCCCCAAAGAUCUUGACAAGUGAGAGCAUCAGGCUUAAUCUACUAAGAUGAAAUUCAAUCGGGAUAGAGGGUGGAACCAACAAUGGGCGAGAAUUUCAAAUUUAGGCUUGAUGUCAGAAAAAGCUUCUGGACAAUUAGAGCUGUUCAAAAGUGACAUGGGACUGCCUCAAGACAUCAUGAGUUUCCCCUGCUGAGAGGAGAGAUGACCAUUUGUUGGUGCCCAGGACAAAGAACUAACCACCUAGCAUGAGCUGCCUCCAGAUAAAUCGACUUCAUAUAUACCCAGAAGGUAAUUUGAUCACUAGCUCCCUGUUUUUGCCAAAUUGUCUUUCCAAGGUGACAUAAUGAGAUGAAGACGAGGUUGGCAUUUUUAGAUAUCUGGAGCUUUAUGGAAAUCACAGUCUCCCAGGGGGCUAGAACAAAUCAUAUAGACUGAGUCCAUCUCUUCAUGUUCCAAAUAAAGAA